GCGGAUGUGGCGGAAUUGGUAGACGCGCACGGUUCAGGUCCGUGUGCCCGUCAGGGCGUGGAGGUUCGAGUCCUCUCAUCCGCA
rnacentral:tRNA from 1 species